GUGGGGAAUAUUGGGCAAUGGGGGCAACCCUGACCCAGCGACGCCGCGUGGGUGAAGAAAUCCCUCGGGAUGUAAAGCCCUGUUGUAUGGGAAGAGCAGAAGACGGUACCAUACGAGGAAGCCCCGGCAAACUACGUGCCAGCAGCCGCGGUAAUACGUAGGGGGCAAGCGUUGUCCGGAAUUACUGGGCGUAAAGCGCACGCAGGCUGAAUUAUAAGUCGGUAGUCAAAUACGGAGGCUCAACUUCCGGAUAUCUAUCGAUACUGUAAAUCUAGAGUAUGUGAGAGGGAAGCGGAAUUCCCCGUGUAGCGGUGAAAUGCGUAGAUAUGGGGAGGAACACCAGUGGCGAAGGCGGCUUUCUGGACGGUGUCUGACACUGAGGCGCGAAAGCCAGGGGAGCGAACGGGAUUAGAAACCCCAGUAGUCC
rnacentral:rRNA from 1 species